rnacentral:rRNA from 1 species
UACGGGGGGUGCGAGCGUUGUCCGGAAUCACUGGGCGUAAAGGGCGCGUAGGUGGUUUGAUAAGGGUGUGGUGAAAAGUCCGGGGCUCAACCCCCGGAUCUGCCGUGCCGACUGUCAAACUCGAGGGCUGUAGAGGCAGACGGAAUUCCGGGUGUAGCGGUGGAAUGCGUAGAGAUCCGGGAAGAACACCGGAGGCGAAGGCGGCUUGCUGGGCGUGAUCUGACGCUGAGGCGCGACAGCGUGGGGAGCAAACAGG